rnacentral:rRNA from 1 species
CUUUCCCUCUGGCGGCAGGCCUAACACAUGCAAGUCGAGCGGAUGAAGGGAGCUUGCUCCUGGAUUCAGCGGCGGACGGGUGAGUAAUGCCUAGGAAUCUGCCUGGUAGUGGGGGAUAACGUCCGGAAACGGGCGCUAAUACCGCAUACGUCCUGAGGGAGAAAGUGGGGGAUCUUCGGACCUCACGCUAUCAGAUGAGCCUAGGUCGGAUUAGCUAGUUGGUGGGGUAAAGGCCUACCAAGGCGACGAUCCGUAACUGGUCUGAGAGGAUGAUCAGUCACACUGGAACUGAGACACGGUCCAGACUCCUACGGGAGGCAGCAGUGGGGAAUAUUGGACAAUGGGCGAAAGCCUGAUCCAGCCAUGCCGCGUGUGUGAAGAAGGUCUUCGGAUUGUAAAGCACUUUAAGUUGGGAGGAAGGGCAGUAAGUUAAUACCUUGCUGUUUUGACGUUACCAACAGAAUAAGCACCGGCUAACUUCGUG